AGAGUUUGAUCCUGGCUCAGAUUGAACGCUGGCGGUAUGCUUAACACAUGCAAGUCGAACGGUAACAGAGGAAAGCUUGCUUUCUUGCUGACGAGUGGCGGACGGGUGAGUAACGCGUGGGAAUCUGCCUAGUAGUGGGGGAUAGCCAGAAGAAAUUCUGAAUAAUACCGCAUACGCCCUACGGGGGAAAGAAGGCCUCUACUUGUAAGCUUUCACUAUUAGAUGAGCCCGCGUUAGAUUAGCUUGUUGGUGAGGUAAAAGCUCACCAAGGCAACGAUCUAUAGUUGGUCUGAGAGGAUGACCAGCCACAUUGGGGCUGAGACACGGCCCAGACUCCUACGGGAGGCAGCAGUGGGGAAUAUUGGACAAUGGGCGCAAGCCUGAUCCAGCAAUACCGCGUGUGUGAAGAAGGCCUUAGGGUUGUAAAGCACUUUUAUGAGUGAAGAAGGGUUAGUAGUUAAUAACUGCUAGCAUUGACGGUAACUCACGAAUAAGCACCGGCUAACUCCGUGCCAGCAGCCGCGGUAAUACGGAGGGUGCAAGCGUUAAUCGGAAUUACUGGGCGUAAAGGGUACGUAGGCUGUUAAAUAAGUUGGAUGUGAAAGCCCUGGGCUCAU
rnacentral:rRNA from 1 species